CCGAGUGAGGGCCCCCGGCCCGACCUCCAACCCUUUGUGAAUUGACCCUGUUGCCUCGGGGGACGCCGGCGCUCUCGGGCGCCGGGCCCCCGGUGGACCCCAUAACUCUGCGUCUUUGCGUCCGAGUCUAAUGAUGAAUCAAUCA
rnacentral:misc_RNA from 2 species